rnacentral:rRNA from 1 species
AUUGAACGCUGGCGGCAGGCUUAACACAUGCAAGUCGAGCGGGGGAAGGUAGCUUGCUACCGGACCUAGCGGCGGACGGGUGAGUAAUGCUUAGGAAUCUGCCUAUUAGUGGGGGACAACAUCUCGAAAGGGAUGCUAAUACCGCAUACGUCCUACGGGAGAAAGCAGGGGAUCUUUGGACCUUGCGCUAAUAGAUGAGCCUAAGUCGGAUUAGCUAGUUGGUGGGGUAAAGGCCUACCAAGGCGACGAUCUGUAGCGGGUCUGAGAGGAUGAGCCGCCACACUGGGAAUGAGACACGGCCCAGACUCCUACGGGAGGCAGCAGUGGGGAAUAUUGGACAAUGGGGGGAACCCUGAUCCAGCCAUGCCGCGUGUGUGAAGAAGGCCUUAUGGUUGUAAAGCACUUUAGGCGAGGAGGAGGCUACUUUAGUUAAUACCUAGAGAUAGUGGACGUUACUCGCAGAAUAAGCACCGGCUAACUCUGUGCCAGCCGCCGCAGUAA